AUUGAACGCUAGCGGCAUGCUUAACACAUGCAAGUCGAGCGAGCGGCGGACGGGUGAGUAAUGUAUCGGAAACUGCCUGAUGGAGGGGGAUAACUACUGGAAACGGUAGCUAAUACCGCAUACUAUUGGAGCUGCCCAUAUGGGAUUAGCUAGUCGGUGGGGUAAAGGCUCACCUAGGCGACGAUCCCUAGCUGGUCUGAGAGGAUGACCAGCCACACUGGGACUGAGACACGGCCCAGACUCCGACGGGAGGCAGCAGUGGGGAAUAUUGGACAAUGGGGGAAAGCCUGAUGCAGCCAUGCCGCGUGUGUGAAGAAGGCCUUCGGGUUGUAAAGCACUGUUGGCGAGGAAGCGGUAUCUGCAGAAGAAGCACCGGCUAACUACGUGCCAGCAGCCGCGGUAAUAC
rnacentral:rRNA from 1 species